AUGGGCCACGCGUCCACUGCGGUUCUAAGCGCGCCGUCCGCACCCACCUUACGAUUGCUCGCGACGUUUUGCUAGCC
rnacentral:sRNA from 1 species